rnacentral:rRNA from 1 species
GAUCAUGGCUCAGGAUGAACGCUAGCUACAGGCUUAACACAUGCAAGUCGAGGGGCAGCGGGAUUGAAGCUUGCUUCAAUUGCCGGCGACCGGCGCACGGGUGAGUAACACGUAUCCAACCUCCCGCAUACUCGGGAAUAGCCUUUCGAAAGAAAGAUUAAUGCCCGAUGGUUUCAAGGGAUUGCAUGGUAUCUUGAAUAAAGAUUCAUCGGUAUGCGAUGGGGAUGCGUU